UACGUAGGGUGCGAGCGUUAAUCGGAAUUACUGGGCGUAAAGCGUGCGCAGGCGGUUGUGUAAGCCAGAUGUGAAAUCCCCGGGCUCAACCCGGGAAUGGCAUUUGGGACUGCACGGCUGGAGUAUGGCAGAGGAGACUGGAAUUCCUGGUGUAGCAGUGAAAUGCGUAGAUAUCAGGAGGAAUACCGAUGGCGAAGGCAGGUCUCUGGGCCAAUACUGACGCUCAUGCACGGAAGCGUGGGGAGCAAACAGG
rnacentral:rRNA from 1 species